rnacentral:rRNA from 1 species
CAAAAACAUCGCCUCUUGAAUAAAAAUAAGAGGUCCAGCCUGCCCAGUGACCCUAGUUCAACGGCCGCGGUAUCCUGACCGUGCAAAGGUAGCGUAAUCACUUGUUCUUUAAAUGAGGACUAGUAUGAAUGGCAUCACGAGGGUUAUACUGUCUCCUCUUUCUAAUCAGUGAAACUAAUCUCCCCGUGAAAAAGCGAGAAUAGACUUAUAAGACGAGAAGACCCUAUGGAGCUUUAAAUUUUAUUUCAAUUGCUUUAUCACAUAACAUGUCCCGACCCUCUUAUUAAACCUAGCAUAAUGAAAAUAAAUUUUAGGCUGGGGCGGCCGCGGAGCACAAAAUAACCUCCACAUUGAAUAAACCUCAAUUUUUGAACUAAGAGCCACGACUCUAAGUACUAACAUAUUAACAUCCAUUGACCCAAUAUAUUGAUCAACGAACCAAGUUACCCUAGGGAUAACAGCGCAAUCUACUUUGAAAGUUCCUAUCGACAAGUGGGUUUACGACCUCGAUGUUGGAUCAGGGUACCCCAGUGGUGCAGCCGCUACUAAAGGUUCGUUUGUUCAACGAUUAAAACCCUACGUGAUCUGA